rnacentral:rRNA from 1 species
AGAGUUUGAUCAUGGCUCAGAACGAACGCUGGCGGCAGGCCUAAUACAUGCAAGUCGAGCGGACGUAGCAAUACGUCAGCGGCGGACGGGUGAGUAACACGUGGGAACAUGCCCUUCGGUACGGAACAACUCAGGGAAACUUGAGCUAAUACCGUAUGCGCCGGCAACGGGAAAGAUUUAUCGCCGAAGGAUUGGCCCGCGUCCGAUUAGCUAGUUGGUGAGGUAAAGGCUCACCAAGGCACCGAUCGGUAGCUGGUUUGAGAGAACGACCAGCCACACUGGGACUGAGACACGGCCCAGACUCCUACGGGAGGCAGCAGUAGGGAAUCUUGGACAAUGGGGGAAACCCUGAUCCAGCCAUGCCGCGUGAGUGAUGAAGGCCUUCGGGUUGUAAAACUCUUUCGGCGGGGACGAUAAUGACGGUACCCGCAGAAGAAGCUCCGGCUAACUUCGUGCCAGCAGCCGCGGUAAUACGAAGGGGGCUAGCGUUGUUCGGAAUUACUGGGCGUAAAGCGCGCGCAGGCGGCCUUUCAAGUCAGGGGUGAAAGCCCGGAGCUCAACUCCGGAAUUGCCUUUGAAACUGUCAGGCUCGAGUACGGGAGAGGUGAGUGGAAUUCCCAGUGUAGAGGUGAAAUUCGUAGAUAUUGGGAAGAACACCGGUGGCGAAGGCGGCUCACUGGCCCGUUUCUGACGCUCAGGCGCGACAGCGUGGGGAUCAAACAGGAUUAGAUACCCUAGUAGUCC